AUUGAACGCUGGCGGCAUGCUUUACACAUGCAAGUCGAACGGCAGCACGGACUUCGGUCUGGUGGCGAGUGGCGCACGGGUGAGUAAUACAUCGGAACGUACCCAGUAAUGGGGGAUAACUAUCCGAAAGGAUAGCUAAUACCGCAUACGCCCUACGGGGGAAAGAGGGGGAUCGCAAGACCUCUUGUUAUUGGUGCGGCCGAUGGAUGAUUAGCUAGUUGGUGGGGUAAAGGCCUACCAAGGCAACGAUCAGUAGCGGGUCUUAGAGGACGCUCCGCCACACCGGAACUGAGACACGGUCCAGACUCCUACGGGAGGCAGCAGUGGGGAAUCUUGGACAAUGGGCGCAAGCCUGAUCCAGCAAUGCCGCGUGCGUGAAGAAGGCCUUCGGGUUGUAAAGCGCUUUUGUCAGGGAGCAAAUCCUUGUGGCUAAUACCCACCGGGGAUGAGAGUACCUGAAGAAUAAGGACCGGCUAACUACGUGCCAGCCGCCGCCGUAACAC
rnacentral:rRNA from 1 species